GGACGAUAUACAGGACCAGUCAAAAUGUUGGACAACACCAACUCAAUCCAGGGUUUUUAUUUUAAUUGUAUUUUUCUACAUUGUAGAAUAAUAGUGACGACAUCAAAACUAUGAAAACAACCCCUAUUAAUAUAGAAUGUUCUCUGGGUUUAAUAGACAUAUUAAAAGAUUAGUCAUAUAACUUUUUUUAAAAUUAUUAUAAUUAUUAUUCCCUUUAAUGUGGCAUGAAACAGAACCAGUCCUGUUUUCAGCUGAUUGUCUAACAAUCCCUUCCCGAAAGGUUUGCUCCUGUCGGAUAGACGAACCAUGUUUGUCCACCUGCCCAUUUCAUGAAACGGAAAAGAGAUCUGUCACACAAAACUAAAAAACUAAAAAAGUGUGAUGUCAUUCAGUGAUUGUCAUUCGUAACCAUUCGGCUUGUAGCCUGAAUUGAUGCGUCCACUGCUGUAAACGCGCGUCGCGGUCCGUCUCCGUCCGUCUCCGUAGAAACGCAGUCUGGAGGGAAUUUACUGGCCGUUUUAAAUGUUUCAUUCGCUAAUUUUCGUGCAGAUGAGCCGCGGUAAUGUUAAUCCAGAGGUUCCUACCAGCUGUUAUCUCUCUCUCUCUCUGAAUGUCUGGCUGCUGUCACAUCACCUCGGUCAAAUAAAGCUGGACAUUUUGGAUGACUGGUCUCUGUGGUGUUACAUCUAUAAAGGUCCCCCUUCUGUUGUGUUACGUCUAUAAAGGUUCCCCUUCUGUUGUGUUACGUCUAUAAAUGUCCCCCUUCUGUUGUGUUACGUCUAUAAAGGUUCCCCUUCUGUUGUGUUAUAUAAA
rnacentral:lncRNA from 1 species